rnacentral:lncRNA from 1 species
GUUAAGCUUGAGGGGGAGUGUUGAGUUAGAAGAGACUUAUGGAUCAAGGAAUGAUGGAUAAGUGGAGAAGAAGCAAGGUAGAGGAAUCCGUACAAGAGAGGCCGUACAAGGCCGUACACUUGGUACGGAUGGAGCAACCACAAGGAGAAGUAUCUCGGCCAAGAAGUUACCAAAGUGAAAGUAACUUAGCCAAAGUUACCUUUACCUUUGGUUGUGGAUCAGCUUGAAUCAAAAGGAAGAAGAGCGCGGACUGACAGGCUGGAACAGCUGUAAAGGAAGAGCAUCUAGCUAGAUCCUUUUGGCAUCAAGCGUGUGAGCCAUCCUAGCCGGUCAUUCAAACUAGCCCGCUCCUCUCAUCUUUGACUCUACAUGCUUAGUCUCCCUUGUAUCCGUUAACCUAGACUUAGUCUCUCCUAUAUAUAUUGUAACCUUGCUGAUUAAUGAAGUUAACGAGAUUGAGAGACUCUUAUCUCUUGUGUUCAUCAUGAUUCUCACUCAACCUCAGUCUUAGUUCUUAUAAUCUCUCAUACACUCUCAAAUCUAUCUAUUUCUCUUCUUAAAUCACUCAAUACUUUUUGUAUUCUCUAAAAUCAUAUGGUAUCAGAGCCAGGUUGGCUUUGGUAUUGAGUUUCUGAUAAGUUCUUCAUCUUCUUUCAAAAGAUCUAGCGGGUUCUUUAUGAUUUUAGAGAGUUGAACAGGUAUUGAGAGAUUUAGAGAAAGAUUAAAGUGAGAUGAGAUGAUUUAUGAAAUGUAGAAGAGAAACAUGAUGAACUAGAGAGAGAAUAUGAUGAACUCGUGUUAUUCAUUAAUCAAGACAGAGUUUACAAUAUAUAGAGAGAGACAUUAGGGUAUUAGGAAACGCUAAGCAUGUGAGGUCAAGGAUAAGAUUGCUUUAAUUCAAAUGUAAACCAAUGGGAGCUGUCACACGCUUUUGGCAUCUUGGACUCGGUUCCUUUUGCCUUUACAGCAUGUGCCAGACUGUCAGGAUAAGCCGCGGUCACUCCCUCCAUCCAAACGGUCAUAUCUCCUAAGGUAAAACCCCUUUGGCCGUUUAACCCUUUCACCCGGGUAACUUCCCGCUUGGUCGAGUUAUGGAUCGACCCGGACAGUACGGACAGUACGGCCGGUACGGCCUCUUGUACGGCCUGGUCGAUCCCUAACCUUCCUUCCCUUUUCCUCCACAUUCUCACAUCCUCAACUCCUUAAGCCAUCUCCUCAUAUACUGAACCACUUAUUUUCACAUUCUUCACUGAAGCAUACAAGACAAAAUGCAGAGCCAGGUUGGCUUUGGUAUUGAGUUUCUGAUAAGUUCUUCAUCUUCUUUCAAAAGAUCUAGUGGGUUCUUCACUGAAGCAUACAAGACAAAAUGGAGGGACACUACAAGGUGAUUACGGUACCGGUGGCUCUAAAGGGUAGUGGAAACUACCUGCUGUGGUCAAGGCUGGUGAAGACAGCCAUUGGGAGGCUAGGGUUGUGGAGUCACAUCACGGAUGAGACACCAUGACCAGUGGCCAAGGAAGGAGAAGGAGGUGGAGGUGAAGGAGAUCAAGUGGCGGCCGCCGAGAAGAAAUGGAUACAAGAGGACUUAAUGGUGCUUUCAGUGCUACAAGGCUCUCUUGAGGUCCAUCUCUUAGAUGCCUACAGCUACUGUGAGACUCCUAAGCACCUAUGGGAAACACUCCUGAAGACCUUUGGGAACACAACCAAUCUGAGCCGGGUGUUUGAGCUCAAGAGAGCCAUCAACAACCUUGCGCAAGAAGAGGAGGAGUUCUCUAAACACUUGGGAAAGUACAGAUCUCUCUGGUCUGAGCUGGAGACCUUGAGGCCAAGCACCAUUGAUCAAGAGACUCUCAUGGAGAGGAGGGAACAAGAUCAAGUGUUUGGUUUGAUGCUGACUUUGAAUCCGGCCUUUGGUGAUGUUAUUAAGCACAUUCUGAGGUCUCCAAACCUUCCAUCUAUGGAGGAGGUGUGUGCACAACUCCAGAAGGAAGAAGGGACUCUCGGCUUGUUUGGGGGAAGAGGGGAUGUGGCUCUAUCCAACAAGGCUGAGGCAAUCCAAGCAAACAAAGCUGCUUACCGUGGAGAUGAAAGGAAGUUUAGUGGGAACUGUGAUCAUUGCAAGAAGCCAGGGCACAAGAGGAGUCAGUGCUGGAUUCUACACCCCCACUUGAAGCCGGCCAAGUUCAACAAGGAGAGGGAGGGAAGAGCUCACCUUUCUGCAGAGACAAGUGAAGCCGGCACAUCAGGAGCUGGUUCAUCUGGUCAUGCGGGUGAAAGUGAAGGAAGAGCUUUAGCUUCUCACCUCCAAGGAGCCGGGAAGAACAUGGAGCAUGAGGUGAUUAGGAAGUCUGACAUUGAUGCCCUGAUCAAAGCCCUCAAAGAGUCUGGUAACCCCAUUGAACACACUCUUGGUUAUUCAUACUCUGCUCGUGUGUUAUCUAGAACUUGUGAUAGGCUGCUAGAUAAUCUUGAUAAUAUGAACAUGGGAGAUGGAAAGCAUAGGACUUAUGCUGCUGAAAAAACACCUAGAACUAAUGAUAAGUUGCUAGAUGUUAUAGAUAAAUUAAAACUGAUGAUCAAACUGCCUAGUACUCACCUUGCUCAAGGUAUAAAACCAUUGAUUGUAGAUUCAGGUGCUUCACAUCAUAUGAUAAGUGAUGAUAGUCUUAUAAAGAACAUAGAACCAGCUCAUGGACAUGUAAUGAUUGCAAAUGGUGAUAGAAUACCUAUUAAAGGAGUAGGAGACUUAAAACUAUUUAAUAAGGAUUCUAAAGCUUUGUACAUGCCUGAGUUUACUUCUAACCUUCUAUCUGUUAAGAGAUGCACCAAUGAUCUUCAAUGCAAUGUUAUUUUCAGUCCUAAUGAUGUGAAAUUUCAGGAUAUUGAGAGCAAUAAGUUGAUUGGGCAAGGAGUAACCAAAGGAGAUCUUUAUUUACUUGAAGACAUUGCCCCUAUCUCUAGUUCUAGUUGCUUGUUGAGUUCUGUUUUAAGUAAAGGUGCAUUAUGGCAUUCUAGGCUAGGACAUCCACAUGUUAGAGCCUUGAGCUUAAUGUUACCAGGUGUCAUGUUUAAAAAUAAUGAUUGUGAAGCUUGUAUUUUGGGAAAACAUUGUAAGACUGUGUUUAAGAGGUCCACUACUAUCUAUGAUAAAUGCUUUGAUCUUAUUCAUUCUGAUGUGUGGACUGCUCCCUGCCUAUCUAGAGAUAAUUACAAGUACUUUGUCACAUUCAUAGAUGAAAAAUCCAAAUACACCUGGAUAACACUAAUCAAAACAAAGGAUAGGGUUCUUGAUGCAUUUAAAAACUUUCAAUCAUAUGUGUCUAACCAAUAUAAUGCCAAGAUUAAGAUUUUCAGGUCUGAUAAUGGUGGAGAGUAUACUGGCCACGCAUUCAAGAAUCACUUAGCUCAGUAUGGAAUCCUGCAUCAGACGAGUUGCCCCUAUACACCCCAACAAAAUGGUGUGGCGGAGAGGAACCUCAACAAAAUGGAGUGGCUGAGAGGAAGAACAGACAUCUGAUGGAAGUGGCUAGAUCAAUGAUGUUCCAGAUGAGUGUGCCAAAGAGAUUCUGGAGUGAUGCUGUGAUUACUGCAUGUUAUCUGAUCAAUAGGAUACCAACCAGGAUCUUGGAGGAUCAAUCACCUUAUGAAGUUCUCAACAAGAGCAAGCCGGUUCUAGAUCACUUGAGAGUAUUUGGUUGUGUAAGCUUUGUUCUGAUUCCGGGAGAAACAAGAAACAAGCUUGAAGCCAAGAGUAUAAGGGCUAUGAUGAUUGGUUAUUCUACUACACAGAAGGGAUACAAGUGCUUUGUUCCAGAAACGAGAAGGGUACUUGUAUCUAGAGAUGUGAAGUUCCUGGAAGACAAGAGCUACUAUGAGGACAAAGAGUGGAAAGACUUGGAAGAUCUUUCACGACCAUCUGAUAGAGCUACAAGUCUAAGACAGAUACUAGAAGGACUUGGGAUUGGAGUGACCCAGGAUCAGAGUGAAGAACACUCAUCAGAGGUACAUGAAGCUGAAGAACCAACUCACGUUGAUCAUGAGGGAGGGAAUGGAACUGAGAAUGAGAACCAAGACUCAGAACUUCCUGAUCAACGUGAGACUCAAGAGGUAGAUGAACCUGAUAAUGGAGAGUACCAUGAAGAUCAGGAACAAGAGAAUGGAGAAACAACUGAAGUAGAAGAGACUCAGCAAGCGCCAACUACUGCUGUUCCAUUAAGAAGAAGUACACGGCUGAAGAGAGAUGCUUCCAACUGGGUAAACACGAGAGUGUACUACAAUGCCCAAGCUGUGGAGCAUCCCUCUCAAGCCGUGUGUUCAUUUGCUACAUUCCCAGAUCAGCAUUGCACAUUUAUGAUGAGUUUAGAUAAGAGCUUUGUACCUAGAUCACAUGAGGAAGCAAUGCUACAUGAAGACUGGAAGGAAUCAGUUGAUGAUGAGGCCAAUGCUAUGAUUAAAAAUGAUACAUGGUAUGAGAGUGAGUUACCAAAGGGAAAGAAGGCAGUAAGCAGCAAGUGGAUAUUCACAAUCAAGUAUAAGCCUGAUGGAACCAUUGACAGAAAGAAAACAAGACUGGUUGCUAGAGGAUACACUCAGACCUAUGGAGAAGAUUACAUAGAUACAUUUGCUCCUGUUGCCAAGCUACAUACAAUCAGAAUUGUAUUAUCUGUUGCUGUAAACCUUGGAUGGGAGCUAUGGCAAAUGGAUGUGAAGAAUGCAUUUCUCCAAGGAGAACUAGAAGAUGAGGUGUAUAUGCACCCACCACCAGGUCUUGAGCAUCUAGUGAAGCCAGGAAACGUUUUGAGACUCAAGAAGGCAAUCUAUGGACUAAAACAGUCCCCUAGAGCAUGGUACAACAAGCUAAGUACUACACUGAAUGGGCGUGGCUUCAGGAAGUCAGAACUUGAUCAUACCCUUUUCACUCUCACAACACCUUCAGGUAUUAUUUGUCUACUUGUUUAUGUUGAUGACAUCAUUAUAACAGGUAGUGAUAAGGAUGGGAUAAAAGCCACAAAGGAGUUUUUAAAAUCUGUGUUUGAAAUUAAAGACUUGGGAGAAAUGAAAUACUUUCUUGGAAUUGAGUUGUGUAGAUCCAAGGAAGGGUUAUUCAUUUCCCAAAGGAAGUAUACACUUGAUCUUUUGAAAGAUGCAGGUAUACAAGGAGAUAAGACAGCAAGGAUGCCUCUUGAAGAUGGAUACAAGAUUCCACGUGAGGGGGAGCUUGAAGAUAGCAAGGCUUUCCAUGAUCCCAAGCUGUAUAGGAAGCUAGUAGGGAAGCUCAUCUAUCUCACCAUCACAAGACCGGAUAUAUGCUUUGCCGUGAAUCAAGUGAGUCAGCAUAUGCAAGUUCCAAAAGAGCAUCAUUGGCGGAUGGUGGAGAGACUACUUUUGUAUCUGAAUGGGACAUCAAGUCUUGGAGUGUGGAUGGGAUGCAACAAGAGUACUGAAGUAGUAGGCUACUGUGAUGCGGAUUGGGCUGGUGAUCGAGCUGACAGAAGAUCAACCACCGGAUAUUGCACAUUCAUUGGAGGCAACUUGGUGACUUGGAAAAGCAAGAAGCAGAAGGUGGUAUCUUGUUCAAGUGCUGAAGCUGAGUAUAGAGCAAUGCUGAAGCUGACCAAUGAGUUGGUAUGGAUCAAGGGGAUCUUGAAGCAUUUGGAGAUAGAGCAAACAACUCCAAUGACGAUGCACUGUGAUAAUCAAGCAGCUAUACACAUUGCAACCAAUUCAGUCUUUCAUGAGAGAACCAAGCACAUUGAAGUGGAUUGUCACAAGGUGAGGCAGAUGAUUGUCUUGGGAGUUAUCUUGCCAUGCUAUACAAGGAGUGAGGAUCAAUUGGCGGAUGUAUUUACCAAGGCUGCAAGACAAAAGACUAUGGAGUCCAUUCACAUCAGAUUAGGCCUCAUAGAUCUUAAGGCAAGGAGCUGAGCCCCUAGUCAUGAGGUCUUUACUCUUUUUCCCUCAUCAAAGUUUUGUCCCAAUGGGUUUUCUUUGGUGAGGUUUUUAAUGAGGAAGAUCUCAUGGCUGUCCAAGCUUAACUGAUGGGAUAGUUAAGCUUGAGGGGGAGUGUUGAGUUAGAAGAGACUUAUGGAUCAAGGAAUGAUGGAUAAGUGGAGAAGAAGCAAGGUAGAGGAAUCCGUACAAGAGAGGCCGUACAAGGCCGUACACUUGGUACGGAUGGAGCAACCACAAGGAGAAGUAUCUCGGCCAAGAAGUUACCAAAGUGAAAGUAACUUAGCCAAAGUUACCUUUACCUUUGGUUGUGGAUCAGCUUGAAUCAAAAGGAAGAAGAGCGCGGACUGACAGACUGGAACAGCUGUAAAGGAAGAGCAUCUAGCUAGAUCCUUUUGGCAUCAAGCGUGUGAGCCAUCCUAGCCGGUCAUUCAAACUAGCCCGCUCCUCUCAUCUUUGACUCUACAUGCUUAGUCUCCCUUGUAUCCGUUAACCUAGACUUAGUCUCUCCUAUAUAUAUUGUAACCUUGCUGAUUAAUGAAGUUAACGAGAUUGAGAGACUCUUAUCUCUUGUGUUCAUCAUGAUUCUCACUCAACCUC